rnacentral:ncRNA from 13 species
UGAAAAGGGAACGCGGUGCGCCCGUCCUGAAGGACGCGCAAUUCCGCGGCUGCCCCCGCAACUGUAAGCGGCGAGCGCGGCUGAGAGUGCCACUGGGGAUGUCCCCCGGGAAGGCCAGCCAAGCGACGACCCGCGAGCCAGGAGACCU